rnacentral:rRNA from 1 species
AUGCAAGUCGAACGAGAAAGUGGAGCAAUCCAUGAGUAAAGUGGCGUACGGGUGAGUAACACGUGGGUAAUCUGCCUUUUAGUGAGGAAUAACGAUGGGAAACCGUCGCUAAUACCGCAUGAGCCCGAGAGGGGAAAGUCGCAAGACGCUGAAAGAGGAGCCCGCGGCCGAUUAGCUAGUUGGUAGGGUAAAAGCCUACCAAGGCAGAGAUCGGUAGCCGGCCUGAGAGGGCACACGGCCACACUGGCACUGAAACACGGGCCAGACUCCUACGGGAGGCAGCAGUGGGGAAUCUUGCACAAUGGGGGCAACCCUGAUGCAGCGACGCCGCGUGAGCGAUGAAGCCCUUCGGGGUGUAAAGCUCUUUCGGCAGGGAAGAUAAUGACGGUACCUGCAGAAGCAGCUGCGGCUAACUACGUGCCAGCAGCCGCGGUAAUACGUAGGCAGCGAGCGUUGUUCGGAGUUACUGGGCGUAAAGGGUGUGUAGGCGGUUCUUUAAGUUUGGUGUGAAAUCUCCCGGCUUAACCGGGAGGGUGCGCCGAAUACUGAGGGACUAGAGUGUGGGAGAGGAAAGUGGAAUUCCUGGUGUAGCGGUGAAAUGCGUAGAUAUCAGGAGGAACACCGGUGGUGUAGACGGCUUUCUG